CCAAUAGCGUAUAUUAAAGUUGUUGCAGUUAAAAAGCUCGUAGUUGAAUUUCGGGGUUAGUAGGUUGGUCAUGCCUCUGGUAUGUACUGGUCUCACUGAUUCCUCCUUCCUGAUGAGCCGUAAUGCCAUUAACUUGGUGUUGCGGGGAAUUUGGACUGUUACUUUGAAAAAAUUAGAGUGUUUAAAGCAAGCUAACGCUUGAAUACAUUAGCAUGGAAUAAUGAAAUAGGACGUUCGAUCCUAUUUUGUUGGUUUCUAGGAUUGACGUAAUGAUUAAUAGGGAUAGUUGGGGGCAUUAGUAUUCAAUUGUCAGAGGUGAAAUUCUUGGAUUUAUUGAAGACUAACUACUGCGAAAGCAUUUGCCAAGGAUGUUUUCAUUAAUCAAGAAUGAAAGUUAGGGGAUCGAAGACGAUCAGAUACCGUCGUAGUCUUAACCAUAAACUAUGCCGACUAGGGAUCGGAUGAUGUUAAUUUUUUAAUGACUCAUUCGGCGCCUUACG
rnacentral:rRNA from 1 species